AUAUUAUGAUUGGUCUAUUACGGACUAGAGCAUGAUUGUAAUUAGUCCAGUACUAAAAAGACAAAUAUAAACUUGCAUGACUAUAAGAGUGAGAAAAAAAGAAGCAUGUGGAUUAGUCAGCCAUAUGUGAGAUGUGGUAUAUCAGCCACAAGCUGAAAUAUGAUUUAUGGUUGUCGGACAUGGGUGGAAAUAUGGUGUAUGUUUGGCCUGCCAC
rnacentral:lncRNA from 1 species